AAAAAAAAAAUUCUAAAAAAUCGUGCGAUGUUGCCUGUAGAAUGAAGGGACUACUUGGUAAAUAAAUUAUAUCUUCGAAUGAAACGACUCAUAUAAUAGUGAUCGAACUUCACGUACAGCGAAAGCAUCCUACAUCACCCUACCCAAUGGAAGGGUUCUGGUGAUGCUAAACGGCUACACUUUCGCCCAAGCAAACAAAACAAUCUGGUAUUGUUCGAGGAAGCAAAGCACGAAAUGUAAAGCAAAAGUCGUAGUGUACAAUGAUAGUAUUCUAAACUUCGAUAACGAACAUAAUCACGCUCCGCCAGUGUUCACUAGAAGUAAGGCAGGGUUUUAUAUUAAAGUGGCACCGUAGAUUUAUCAUUGUAAAUUGAAUUAUAGUAUUAUAUAAGUUUAGAAUGUACUCAUUACUUUAAUUAAUGCUGUGUAGUCCUUUAAGUUGGUUGUGCAUCGAAUAUGACAAUCGUUAUAUUACUCCUGUGUAAGCUUAAUGUAUAAUUUGCUGGAGAAUAUAAAAUAAAUAAAUAAAUAUGAGUAUUAAAUUUGGGCUUUAUGUCAGGAUUGUACAGUACAAUUUUCAGCGGCAUAGUAGAUUGACUAUGCUGUGGACGAGUUGAACCGAUUUGGUGUCAGAAGGCUUCUUAUUAACCUGAGUCGUCUAUAUAGAAAAGAAUUCGAAUUUUAUAACUUGAUCAGGAAAACAAAAUGCUACCUUUAUGUCACCAAUUUUACUUUUACGGUUUAAAGUUAACGUUUUCAUUAAAAGAACUUAGUUCAAAAUUUUACCACAACGGGGUGAGGUGUUAUAUUUUCCCGGUCAGGCUAUAUAUACAUGAUAUACUAUUAUAAAGUCUGCAUCACUAUGGUCAUACGAAUAGAUUCCAGAGUCAUAGCUGGAGGCUAUAUUCAUUUAUCAUUUGAUUUUAAUUAUUACAACUUGAUUUAUGUAUUUAGAUACUAGUAUUAUAAAUGUAUUAUUAUAUAAUAUAAAAUACAAUCUUGGGAAUAUAAUGUCGAUAGCUUCUAAGAAAACUAUCGUAUCUAAAACAAUAGGGAAAAAAAGGUAAUAAAUGAACAUUUUUUUUUAAUGAGUUUGAUAAUACUUAAGUGGCGAAAUGUGAAAUUUUUCAAACGGGAACCCGACAACAUAUAGAUACUAAUAUUCAUAAAUGCAGUCUGCAAAUCGUUCUAUAUCUGAUACCUCGGCGACGUGCUUAGGCACGAACGAUAUAUGCCGCUACAAUUAAUAAUGAUGGGCAAAGUGGAGAGGAAGACACGCUGGGCGAAGGAAAAAAUAGUGACUGAGAAACAUCCGAAUAGACGAUGUGAGUUUUGUUUCUAUUUUUGGGUUUAAAUUGAGUUUGUAACCUAGUAAUUUUCGUAAAACCAUUAGCCUAGUUAGCAUUUGCUACAAAAACUUGACUGUAUAAAUCACUUAUAUAGAUUGCGGACCAGGAAGUUUGAUUAUCAGGUUAAGUAAUAAAUUGUAUAAUUUUUGAGAAACAACCAGGAGUGGACCGGCAUCACCUCCGUUGAACACCUGUUCCGCUUAGCCAAUGAUAAAGAUAAAUACAAGAAGCUGAUGGCUAACCUUCAACAAUGAAGAGGCACUUGAAGAAAAAGAAAUCGUUCUAACGAUAAUAAGAUUCUAUAUAAAGGGAAGCUAGGAGGAAUCUGGUUAUAAGGAACCUUUCGCCAGUGGUACCUACUUAGAAAAUGAAAGCUAAAAGUUAAAAUCGAUAUUUUUUCAGAUACGACAAUUUUCUUAGGAGUCAUCGAUUUAAAGCAGUAGAAUUACGCUAAGCUUGUAUAAUUAUAGUAACGUACAUGGAAAGACAAGAGAUAUCUCGUAAGAGUUGUGAAAAUAAAGUAUGAAGUUAAUUAACCGACUUCAAAUAAAGGAGAAGGUUAUCGAUUCAACGUGUAUUAUUUUACUAACUCGGAUAUGAAAAGUUUCCGUCACACUGUUAUUCAAAUUUAAUAAAGUUCGGAUUUAGACCAAGCUGCUGGAUCGGUGUAGAAACUGUUAAGUAAUAAACUUGGUGAAUAACCUACCAUCACUAGUGGUUUCUUACGUGUCCGCAACUUUCAAUGCAAUGUAGGUAAUUGAUCGACCAGGCAUCCUAACAGAACCCAUAGCUCUAACGGGUCGAAGAAAUCCAUCGCGGGAUUUUGGUUGGUAAACUCGUGUGGGGCAUAUAUUUGUUAGCGACUCGCUCCAAAGAUCGUCAGAUGUUUACCAUCUAUCGAAAUAUUGGCUCGUAAUACAAUGACCACAAUAUAACCCAGUUGCCAUCAGGGUGCUUAUUCUUUUUGCCUCACGUUAAUUUGAUAGUCCGAUACAAGCACGCAACGCAUCGUGUCGCAUUUAAGAUAAUAUAAAUUGGCAUACAGAAUAUCAUUCUACGGUAAUUUCAUGAUCAACACGACUGCGUUACGAAUUUACAUUGUUAUAUCGAAUAAGGCUGACGGAGUCGGGAUUCGACUCGAGUUUUACGCAGUGUACCUCAUCAGUGUAUAUUAUAUUUGCAUGCAUUCUACCUUUCUUAUUAAAAAAAAAAAAAAAAACUUUUAAAAUCAUAUUGAAAUAAGAAUUAUAUAUUUAUUUGCAGAAACGGCCAAGUACAUCACAUUGAUAAGCGGUUUAAGACUACUGAUGGUGAACCGAUACACAUAUAGGAAAGCUACAAAGAAAAUGUGGUAUUGUUCGCGUAAACAAAUCAUGAAAUGUAAUGCGAAAGUAGAAUUGGAUGGUGACGUCAUUGUGCAUUGCAAAGAAGAUCAUAAUCAUCCUCCGCCUGCUUAUACUAUAAGUAAGGAGGGUUAUUACAUCAAAGUAGAUUGAAGUAUUAGAUAUAAGUGUUUGAAGUGGUUUAUCGUAUCCCUGUAUAAUUUGAUUUACUUUAAAAACUUAUUAAUAAAUUAAAAUUUCAAAUGAAAAUCUUUUUUUAUUUUAAAAUAUAAUUUGGUUUAAGUUUUUUUUUAUUUAAGGCGCCGUGUUGCAAAACCAAAUUGUUAUCAAAGAUUUUCGAUAUAAUGGCCAAUAAUUUACUUAGAAUUUUAUUAUGGUGUCUUGCGAAUGCCAAGUUUCAGAAAAACUCUUAGGAUAAUGAUAAGAAAAAUGACGUAAUUUUAUUCCCAUUUUAUCUUACAGCAUCAGCUAAAUAUAUCACUCUGAUCAACGGUACUGUUCUAUUGAUGCUAGACGGUUAUACAUUCUGGCCAGUGAACAAAAAGUACUGGUAUUGUUCUAAGAAAGGAGGCUCCAAGUGCAAAGCGAGGGUGCACAUGGAUGAUGACGUCAUAGUUUACCACAACAGCGAACAUAACCACGGUCGUGCAAAGUAUAUUAAAAAUAAAGAUGGGUUUUAUAUCAAAGUGAGUUACAAAAAUAAUUGAAUUAAAUGAAUAUAUCGGAGAUAUAAGGCUGUUUUUUGUCUAGACUCGAGACAUUCAGUAGUAAUUAUUUCUUUAAUUUUGUAUCGUCUAAUUUUGAAAACAUUGUUAUUGUUAAUACGUUAAGCACUCUGUAAUGACCAGUUACGUCAUUGACAGUUACGGCUAAAAUAGCGUCCUGGAGUAAAAAUAUACAAAAGACCGCUUAUUUCUCAAUUUUGGCUAAAUGUUUACCGUAAGUAUACGAUAAAAUUACGAUAAAUAUUACGAUGUUUAUGUUACGUCAAUCCUUAUUGAUUUAACUUUAACUGUUAAUAAAUAUUCUUACAGUCUAAUGAAUAGUUAUUUACGCAACGUCAAAUACAACACACCCACCAGGUUACAUGCUUUGCAAUAACAAAUCAAACUAUAAUGUAACAUAUUAUUGCAGAAAAAGCAAAAUAUAUAACCUUGACAAAUGGCAGUGUUCUUUUAAUGUUAGACGGUUAUACUUUCGCGCCGGUCAACAAGAGACACUGGUACUGUUCCAGAAAAAGAACUAUGAAGUGCAAAGCGCGAGCGCACCUGGACAAUGACGUCAUCGUGUUCUGCGAGACACAGCACACUCAUGCUCGGCCGGUUUACGUUAAAAGUAAAGAGGGAUAUUACAUGAAGGUUAAAUAAUAACUUAGGUUGUAAAAUAUGGAUGUUAACUAAGAUGUUUUCAUUACAUAAAUACAUUGUCCGAGCUCAAUACCGGCAAGACGAAAGCAGGGUAAUUGAGCGACUGUCGCGGCUAGUCGGGUACUAACUUUUGUAUUUUUAUAAAUAAAAUGUCUUCCUGUGUUUAAGACGAUGUACAAAUUAUACUCCAACUGUUAAUGACAAAAAUGUUUCAUUUCAUACGUUAGUAAUAAGUAUACGUUAUGUAACUUAUUUUUUAAACAAAUAAAUGCAUUUUAUUCGGCUGUCAUGGCGACGAGGCGGUCGGCGCUCAGGCCGUAUCAAAGCGAGCUGCUAGAGCUGUACAGGUACAUACAUAUGUGUCUAUAGUAAAUAGUGCGCUGUUGUGCAAUUUUGUAACUAUAUGACACGACUAUUUGCAAAACGUCAUUAAAAAUGCAGACUAAACAAAGAAAACAUGAAAUGUCGAACUUAACUGCAUACUCUAAUUAUUAAGUAAUUAUUCUAUGCAUCUAUGUAAUAAAAACAUCUUAGUACAUUUUAAUAUAAAUAUACGAUUUAGAAUAAAGAUGAUAAAAGUAAAUUACAGCUGUUUUUAGUACUACAAAAGCUAGUCAUUAAUUCAAAGAUUUUAUUUAAGUUUUUCUAAAUUCUAUUAAAAAAUUGGAUAAUAGAUGAAGAAUGAAACAUCACAACAAUAAAUGUUAACUUCUUACAGAAAAAGCAGAAUUCAUUACUCUCCUUAACGGAAGCGUUCUUUUGAUGCUAAAGGGAUACACAUAUUUUUCUUCAACAAACAGAAAACACUGGUAUUGUUCGAGGAAAAAGUCUACGAAGUGCAAAGCGAAGGUGCAAAUGGAGGAUGACCUCAUAACGUACUACGACAACGAACAUAACCACGCUCCGCCUGUGUACAUCAGGAGUAAGGAAGGGUUUUAUAUGAAAGUAAAGUAGAUUAAACAAUUGAGGAUGAUUUUAUGUAAAAUUACAUAUCCUUAAACUAGUUUUAUAGACUAUGAUUAAAGAUAUUGAAUACUC
rnacentral:lncRNA from 1 species